CACGUAGGGCGCGAGCGUUGUCCAGAAUUAUUGGGCGUAAAGAGCUCGUAGGCGGCCUGUUGCGUCCGCUGUGAAAGCCCGGGGCUUAACCCCGGGUCGGCAGUGGAUACGGGCAGGCUAGAGGUAGGUAGGGGAGAAUGGAAUUCCCGGUGUAGCGGUGAAAUGCGCAGAUAUCGGGAGGAACACCUGUGGCGAAAGCGGCUCACUGGACCACAACUGACGCUGAGGCGCGAAAGCGUGGGGAGCAAACGGG
rnacentral:rRNA from 1 species